rnacentral:rRNA from 1 species
GACGAACGCUGGCGGCGUGCUUAACACAUGCAAGUCGAGCGGAAAGGCCCUGCUUUUGUGGGGUGCUCGAGUGGCGAACGGGUGAGUAACACGUGAGUAACCUGCCCUUGACUUUGGGAUAACUUCAGGAAACUGGGGCUAAUACCGGAUAGGAGCUCCUGCGGCAUGGUGGGGGUUGGAAAGUUUCGGCGGUUGGGGAUGGACUCGCGGCUUAUCAGCUUGUUGGUGGGGUAGUGGCUUACCAAGGCUUUGACGGGUAGCCGGCCUGAGAGGGUGACCGGCCACAUUGGGACUGAGAUACGGCCCAGACUCCUACGGGAGGCAGCAGUGGGGAAUAUUGCACAAUGGGCGGAAGCCUGAUGCAGCAACGCCGCGUGCGGGAUGACGGCCUUCGGGUUGUAAACCGCUUUCGCCUGUGACGAAGCGUGAGUGACGGUAAUGGGUAAAGAAGCACCGGCUAACUACGUG